GACGAACGCUGGCGGCGUGCCUAAUACAUGCAAGUAGAACGCUGAAGGAGGAGCUUGCUUCUCUGGAUGAGUUGCGAACGGGUGAGUAACGCGUAGGUAACCUGCCUGGUAGCGGGGGAUAACUAUUGGAAACGAUAGCUAAUACCGCAUAACAGUAGAUGUUGCAUGACAUUUGCUUAAAAGGUGCAAUUGCAUCACUACCAGAUGGACCUGCGUUGUAUUAGCUAGUUGGUGGGGUAACGGCUCACCAAGGCGACGAUACAUAGCCGACCUGAGAGGGUGAUCGGCCACACUGGGACUGAGACACGGCCCAGACUCCUACGGGAGGCAGCAGUAGGGAAUCUUCGGCAAUGGACGGAAGUCUGACCGAGCAACGCCGCGUGAGUGAAGAAGGUUUUCGGAUCGUAAAGCUCUGUUGUAAGAGAAGAACGAGUGUGAGAGUGGAAAGUUCACACUGGACGGUAUCUACCA
rnacentral:rRNA from 1 species